GGGGAGCAUGUGGUUUAAUUCGAUGCAACGCGAAGAACCUUACCUACUCUUGACAUCCAGAGAAUUUAGCAGAGAUGCUUUGGUGCCUUCGGGAACUUUGAGACAGGUGGCGCAGGGGUGUUGUCAGCUCGUGUUGUGAAAUGUGGGGUUAAGUCCCGCAAAGAGCGCAACCCUUUUCUUUUGUUCCCCGCGGUUAGGCGGGGAAUUCAAAGGAGACUGCCGGUGAUAAACGGGAGGAAGGUGGGGAGGAGGUCAAGUCUUCAUGUCCCUUAGGCCUGGGGCUACACACGUGUUCCAAUGGCGGAUACAAGGGGAAGCGACCUCGGGAGAGGAAGGAGUCUUCAUAAAGUAUGUUCUAGUCGGGAUGGGAGUUUGAAAUCUGGACUCCGGAAGUGGGAUUGGUU
rnacentral:rRNA from 1 species